rnacentral:lncRNA from 1 species
AGGUCAAGAGGGAAUUCUGAGAUGUCUCAGAAGUAGGAAUGAUAGAACUACAAAUAAUUAAAGAUGGAUCAAAUGAUAGAUAAAUCUCUUCUUUCUCUAGAGCUUCUAAAGGGAGCUCCUUGGUAUAUCUACAUGUGAAUAAAAGGACUUCUGGUAAAUACGGAUCCAAAAAGAAGCCCCUUCAUUUGAUUAACUCUUCUGACAAACCUGGAUUAGAUCUUUUAAAAGUGGAGUAUAUUAAGGUAAGAGCCAUAGAAUGUUUAUGU